AGAGCGCACGGUGGAUGCCUUGGCACUAAUAGGCGAAGAAGGACGCGACUAACAGCGAAAUGCUACGGGGAGCAGUAAGUACGCAGAGAUCCGUAGAUGUCCGAAUGGGGGAACCCACUAGUUUGAAGAACUAGUAUCAUAUAGUGAAUACAUAGCUAUAUGAGGCAAACCUGGAGAAUUGAAACAUCUUAGUACCCAGAGGAAAAGAAAAUAAAUAAUGAUUCCCUAAGUAGAGGCGAUUGAAAGGGGAAGAGCCCAGCACCAUCAAGAGUUACAAAAUCUUUUUAUAGUAGAAUUGUAUUGGAAAAGCAAGUCAAAGAAGGUGAAAGCCCUGUAUACGAAAUAAAGAGAUCUCGGUGUGAGAGUAGGGCGGAGCACGUGAAAUUCUGUCUGAAUAUGCGAGGACCAUCUCGUAAGGCUAAAUACUCAUUAGUGACCGAUAGUGAACCAGUACUGUGAAGGAAAGGUGAAAAGAACCCCUGGCGGGGAGUGAAAAGAACCUGAAACCGUGUGCUUACAAACAGUUAGAGCCCAUCAAUGGGUGAUAGCGUGCCUUUUGUAGAAUGAGCCGGCGAGUUACGUUAAUUUGCAAGGUUAAGCUUUUAGGAGUGGAGCCGUAGCGAAAGCAAGUCUUAAUAGGGCGAAUAAGUAGAUUGACGUAUACCCGAAACCGGGUGAUCUAGCCAUGAGCAGGUUGAAGCUUGGGUAAAACCAGGUGGAGGACCGAACCAGGGUCUGUUGAAAAAGACUUGGAUGACUUGUGGCUAGGGGUGAAAUUCCAAUCGAACCCGGAGAUAGCUGGUUCUCCCCGAAAUAGCUUUAGGGCUAGCGUUAUGUUAGAUUACCGGAGGUAAAGCACUGAAUGGUAGCGGGGCCGAUAAGGUUACCAACGCCUAUCAAACUAAGAAUGCCGGCUAAUUGAUGCAUAGCAGUCAGACAGUGUGAGAUAAGUUUCAUUGUCAAAAGGGAAACAGCCCAGACCCACAGCUAAGGUCCCAAAGUACAUUUGAGUGGAAAAGGAUGUGGGGUUGCAUAGACAACCAGGAUGUUGGCUUAGAAGCAGCCAUACAUUAAAAGAGUGCGUAAUAGCUCACUGGUCGAGAGGUCCUGCGCCGAAAAUGUCCGGGGCUGAAACACGACACCGAAGCUUAGGAAUGUAGUAAUACAUUGGUAGAGGAGCAUUGUUAGCGCAGCGAAGCUGUACCGAUAAGGAGCAGUGGAGUGCUAAGAAGAGAGAAUGCCGGAAUGAGUAGCGAGAGGAAGGUGAGAAUCCUUCCGGCCGAAUAUCUAAGGUUUCCAGAGUAAAGCUGAUCUGCUCUGGGUAAGUCGGGGCCUAAGGAGAGGUCGCAAGACGUAUCCGAUGGACAACAGGUUUAGAUUCCUGUACCGCAUAUAAACAGAACUGUGGGGACGCAUGUGGAAAGCACGAGCCGGGAAUGGAAAGACCGGUACAAGCGAGGUAGGUGUACAACAGGCAAAUCCGUUGUAUAAUCCGAAGACGUGAUGUGGAGCGAAAUAAAGUAGCAAAGCGUGUGAGCCAUGUGCCGAGAAAAGCUGCUAUUGUGUAAUGCGUGCCCGUACCGUAAACCGACACAGGUGGAUGAGGAGAGAAUCCUAAGGCCGACGGAAGAAGCAUUGUUAAGGAAUUCGGCAAAAUGACCCCGUAACUUCGGGAGAAGGGGUGCCUGCGAGAGCAGGCCGCAGAGAAUAGGCUCAAGCAACUGUUUAGCAAAAACACAGGUCUAUGCGAAACCGUAAGGUGAUGUAUAUGGGCUGACGCCUGCCCGGUGCUGGAAGGUUAAGAGGAGAGGUUAGAGCAAUCGAAGCUUUGAAUUGAAGCCCCAGUAAACGGCGGCCGUAACUAUAACGGUCCUAAGGUAGCGAAAUUCCUUGUCAGGUAAGUUCUGACCCGCACGAAAGGCGUAACGAUUUGGGCGCUGUCUCAACAAGAAACUCGGUGAAAUCAUAGUACCUGUGAAGAUGCAGGUUACCCGCGAUCAGACGGAAAGACCCCAUGGAGCUUCACUGCAACUUAAUAUUGAUAUUGGGUGUGUGAUGUACAGGAUAGGUGGGAGACAAAGAAGCGAGUACGCUAGUAUUCGUGGAGUCAACCUUGGGAUACCACCCCUCGCACAUUUAGUAUCUAACUAGUUUCCAUAAGCUGGGAAUAGAACAGUGUUAGGUGGGCAGUUUGACUGGGGCGGUCGCCUCCCAAAGAGUAACGGAGGCGCCCAAAGGUUCCCUCAGAAUGGUUGGAAAUCAUUCAUAGAGUGUAAAGGCAGAAGGGAGCUUGACUGCGAGACGGACAGGUCGAGCAGGAACGAAAGUUGGGCUUAGUGAACCGGCUGUGCUGAAUGGAAAGGCAGUCGAUCAACGGACAAAAGCUACCCUGGGGAUAACAGGCUGAUCUCCCCCAAGAGUUCACAUCGACGGGGAGGUUUGGCACCUCGAUGUCGGCUCGUCGCAUCCUGGGGCUGGAGAAGGUCCCAA
rnacentral:rRNA from 1 species